rnacentral:SRP_RNA from 1 species
GCUGGGCAUGGUGGCACGUGCCUGUAGUCCCAGCUAUUCGGGAGGCUGAGGCUGGAGGAUCUCUUGAGUCCAGGAGUUCUGGGCUGUAGUGCGCUAUGCCGAUUGGGUGUCCGCACUAAGUUCGGCAUCAAUAUGGUGACCUCCUGGGAGUGGGGGACCACCAGGUUGCCUAAGGAGGGGUGAACCGGCCCAGGUCGGAGACAGAGCAGGUCAAAACUCCCGUGCUGAUCAGUAGUGGGAUCGCACCUGUGAAUGGCCACUGCACUCCAGCCUGGGCAACAAGAGCAAAACUCCAUCUCA